AAGCCAUGAUAGUCCACUGUUAAUCUCACCCCUCCAUCAGAUGGCCAGAUGGAACUAUCAAAAGCUUUAUGCCUGCCUUCGUAUGAUUGCCUGGUGUGCGCUGUUGCCGCGGGUUGCCAGGAGCAGACUCACUUGUCUGCAUUCGAUCAGCCUGAGGAGCAAGUGUUGGACCCGUGCUCAGACUGCAUGGAGUCCUGCCUCUGCACCUGGAGAUCCUGCCUGCGUACCCCUGGAGAGAGCAGCCAGCAAGAUCCACCAGCAGUAAGGAGCAGAGCCUGCCAUUUCCCCUGAUGCUGGAGGAUUCCAGCCUAGAAGUCCACAGGCAGAGACCCUGAAGAAUUGGACACUUGCAAUAGGCUGACACAGCCUGGAGAGUGAUUAAUAAUUGAUAAGAAUUGAGAGUAGAUGCCUCUGUAAUUUCUAUUACCUCUGCCAUAAAGCAGAGAGCAGUUUUCAGCUCAGCUUUGCUGGGCAAACAGUAUAAGUCCUCAGGUAGCAUUGAGCCACAGGGAAACUCUCUCUCUGUUAAUAGUUUGAAUGUUUAAUAGUUAGGAAUAAGUUUUCUGUAGAUAUAUAUCCUAUAACGUCUUCAUAACUGUGUAAAGAACCCUGUAAUAUUAAAGUUCAGUGGUUGGGAGUGGCAAGAAUUGAAAUAUUGGAAGUGAAUAAAUAUAAAUAUUUUUAUAAA